GUGGGGAAUAUUGGACAAUGGGCGAAAGCCUGAUCCAGCAAUGCCGCGUGAGUGAUGAAGGCCCUAGGGUUGUAAAGCUCUUUUACCCGGGAUGAUAAUGACAGUACCGGGAGAAUAAGCUCCGGCUAACUUCGUGCCAGCAGCCGCGGUAAUACGAGGGGAGCUAGCGUUGUUCGGAAUUACUGGGCGUAAAGCGCGCGUAGGCGGUUUUUUAAGUCAGAGGUGAAAGCCCGGGGCUCAACCCCGGAAUUGCCUUUGAAACUGGAAAACUAGAAUCUUGGAGAGGUCAGUGGAAUUCCGAGUGUAGAGGUGAAAUUCGUAGAUAUUCGGAAGAACACCAGUGGCGAAGGCGACUGACUGGACAAGUAUUGACGCUGAGGUGCGAAAGCGUGGGGAGCAAACAGGAUUAGAAACCCUUGUAGUCC
rnacentral:rRNA from 1 species